rnacentral:rRNA from 1 species
ACCGACUAAUGUUGAAAAAUUAGCGGAUGACUUGUGGCUGGGGGUGAAAGGCCAAUCAAACCGGGAGAUAGCUGGUUCUCCCCGAAAGCUAUUUAGGUAGCGCCUCGUGAAUUCAUCUCCGGGGGUAGAGCACUGUUUCGGCAAGGGGGUCAUCCCGACUUACCAACCCGAUGCAAACUGCGAAUACCGGAGAAUGUUAUCACGGGAGACACACGGCGGGUGCUAACGUCCGUCGUGAAGAGGGAAACAACCCAGACCGCCAGCUAAGGUCCCAAAGUCAUGGUUAAGUGGGAAACGAUGUGGGAAGGCCCAGACAGCCAGGAUGUUGGCUUAGAAGCAGCCAUCAUUUAAAGAAAGCGUAAUAGCUCACUGGUCGAGUCGGCCUGCGCGGAAGAUGUAACGGGGCUAAACCAUGCACCGAAGCUGCGGCAGCGACGCUGAUGCGUUGUUGGGUAGGGGAGCGUUCUGUAAGCCUGCGAAGGUGUGCUGUGAGGCAUGCUGGAGGUAUCAGAAGUGCGAAUGCUGACAUAAGUAACGAUAAAGCGGGUGAAAAGCCCGCUCGCCGGAAGACCAAGGGUUCCUGUCCAACGUUAAUCGGGGCAGGGUGAGUCGACCCCUAAGGCGAGGCCGAAAGGCGUAGUCGAUGGGAAACAGGUUAAUAUUCCUGUACUUGGUGUUACUGCGAAGGGGGGACGGAGAAGGCUAUGUUGGCCGGGCGACGGUUGUCCCGGUUUAAGCGUGUAGGCUGGUUUUCCAGGCAAAUCCGGAAAAUCAAGGCUGAGGCGUGAUGACGAGGCACUACGGUGCUGAAGCAACAAAUGCCCUGCUUCCAGGAAAAGCCUCUAAGCAUCAGGUAACAUCAAAUCGUACCCCAAACCGACACAGGUGGUCAGGUAGAGAAUACCAAGGCGCUUGAGAGAACUCGGGUGAAGGAACUAGGCAAAAUGGUGCCGUAACUUCGGGAGAAGGCACGCUGAUAUGUAGGUGAAGUCCCUCGCGGAUGGAGCUGAAAUCAGUCGAAGAUACCAGCUGGCUGCAACUGUUUAUUAAAAACACAGCACUGUGCAAACACGAAAGUGGACGUAUACGGUGUGACGCCUGCCCGGUGCCGGAAGGUUAAUUGAUGGGGUCAGCGCAAGCGAAGCUCUUGAUCGAAGCCCCGGUAAACGGCGGCCGUAACUAUAACGGUCCUAAGGUAGCGAAAUUCCUUGUCGGGUAAGUUCCGACCUGCACGAAUGGCGUAAUGAUGGCCAGGCUGUCUCCACCCGAGACUCAGUGAAAUUGAACUCGCUGUGAAGAUGCAGUGUACCCGCGGCAAGACGGAAAGACCCCGUGAACCUUUACUAUAGCUUGACACUGAACAUUGAGCCUUGAUGUGUAGGAUAGGUGGGAGGCUUUGAAGUGUGGACGCCAGUCUGCAUGGAGCCGACCUUGAAAUACCACCCUUUAAUGUUUGAUGUUCUAACGUGGACCCGUGAUCCGGGUUGCGGACAGUGUCUGGUGGGUAGUUUGACUGGGGCGGUCUCCUCCUAAAGAGUAACGGAGGAGCACGAAGGUUGGCUAAUCCUGGUCGGACAUCAGGAGGUUAGUGCAAUGGCAUAAGCCAGCUUGACUGCGAGCGUGACGGCGCGAGCAGGUGCGAAAGCAGGUCAUAGUGAUCCGGUGGUUCUGAAUGGAAGGGCCAUCGCUCAACGGAUAAAAGGUACUCCGGGGAUAACAGGCUGAUACCGCCCAAGAGUUCAUAUCGACGGCGGUGUUUGGCACCUCGAUGUCGGCUCAUCACAUCCUGGGGCUGAAGUAGGUCCCAAGGGUAUGGCUGUUCGCCAUUUAAAGUGGUACGCGAGCUGGGUUUAGAACGUCGUGAGACAGUUCGGUCCCUAUCUGCCGUGGGCGCUGGAGAACUGAGGGGGGCUGCUCCUAGUACGAGAGGACCGGAGUGGACGCAUCACUGGUGUUCGGGUUGUCAUGCCAAUGGCACUGCCCGGUAGCUAAAUGCGGAAGAGAUAAGUGCUGAAAGCAUCUAAGCACGAAACUUGCCCCGAGAUGAGUUCUCCCUGACUCCUUGAGAGUCCUGAAGGAACGUUGAAGACGACGACGUUGAUAGGCCGGGUGUGUAAGCGCAGCGAUGCGUUGAGCUAACCGGUACUAAUGAACCGUGAGGCUUAACCUU